GCCUGCAGAACUCUGGGGCUAUUCGGAAGCCAAACACUGAUCUCAUCUGAACGUGGCAGACAGCCCUGACUUUCUAAUGGGCUGGCCCCAAACUCUGGAUCCCUACAUUUCAAACUCCGGAACGUGAGCUGAAUGUGCAGUGUGAGAUUCCCUCGGCUUCUCGUGCGGAGUGAGGAAAAUAUGAAAUACGGUCCCAAAACUGGAAAAGCACCAGACCAGAAAUUAAAGAACAGGAUGAAAGGACCAGACCAGGAGAUCAAGGGAGGUGACAGCUAUCAUGGAAGGUGAAAGAACUUGCCGAUACCCUGGAAUGCAGUAACUUGGGCCCAUUUACCUAUUCUGUCUUGUCUGUUAUUAUGUGUCUGGCUUAAAUGUGUGUCCAGGCAUUAUAACAAUAAUUCUGUCUGAAAUUGUAGAAAUAAAGAUUAAAUCUGCUUAAACCUAAA